rnacentral:tRNA from 1 species
GGUGGCUCAGUGGUAGAGUGCUUGCCUUGCAUGCAUGAGGCUCUAGGUUCAAUCCUCAGCACCA